rnacentral:rRNA from 1 species
CCUACGGGUGGCAGCAGUGGGGAAUAUUGCACAAUGGGGGAAACCCUGAUGCAGCGACGCCGCGUGAGUGAAGAAGUAUCUCGGUACGUAAAGCUCUAUCAGCAGGGAAGAAAAUGACGGUACCUGACUAAGAAGCCCCGGCUAACUACGUGCCAGCAGCCGCGGUAAUACGUAGGGGGCAAGCGUUAUCCGGAUUUACUGGGGGUAAAGGGAGCGUAGACGGCAGCACAAGUCUGGAGUGAAAUCCCGGGGCCUAACCCCGGAACUGCUUUGGAAACUGUGCGGCUGGAGUGCAGGAGGGGUAAGCGGAAUUCCUAGUGUAGCGGUGAAAUGCGUAGAUAUUAGGAGGAACACCGGUGGCGAAGGCGGCUUACUGGACUGUAACUGACGUUGAGGCGCGAAAGCGUGGGGAGCAAACAGGAUUAGAUACCCGAGUAGUC